rnacentral:rRNA from 1 species
GAACCGUGCGAACGUUGUUCGGAAUCACUGGGCAUAAAGGGCGCGUAGGCGGGCUACCAAGUCUGUGGUGAAAUCCUCCGGCUCAACCGGAGAACUGCCGUGGAUACUGGGAGCCUCGAGGGAGAUAGGGGCGUGCGGAACUGAUGGUGGAGCGGUGAAAUGCGUUGAUAUCAUCAGGAACUCCGGUGGCGAAGGCGGCACGCUGGAUCUCAUCUGACGCUGAUGCGCGAAAGCCAGGGGAGCAAACGGGAUUAGAUACCCCGGUAGUCCUGGCCCUAAACGUUGGGUACUAGGUAGUAGGCCAGACAUGGGCUUACUGCCGGAGCAAAUGUGUUAAGUACCCCGCCUGGGGAGUAUGGUCGCAAGGCUGAA